CUCUGCGCCCGCCCUCGACGCGGACCCUGGGCCCGGACCCCGCGGCCGCCGGGGCGCCCCUUCUCGGUCCCCGUGCGCCCAGCCCCUCGCCCCGCACCCGGGCACCCCCGCGGGUUUCUCCUGAGUUCCUGGAGCUCCCAGGGCUGGCGCUCACGCCAAAAGAGAGGUUAAAACCAAGAAAUGGACAAAGCCUCCGAAUGAAGGCAGCCCUUUAAAUGGAGUAAAUUUGGUUUCAUGGCACAUUAAUGGGGCAUCUUCUCUCUGAAGACACAGAGACAACUGCAGUAGAUUAGGGGGCCAUCAGGAAUUGGAGGAACGAAGGUAAAAAGAAGAAGGUAAGAAAAAGAGGUCUCUGCCUCUGUGGGGUAGGGACAGUGCUGAACAGCAGGGCUCGGGAGCCCACAGGGAGGUGGCCAGGAUGGCCACAGGGCCUGGGGAGGACCAGGUGGGGCACCAUCCUGGGUGGAGAAUGCCCAUCACCUACCCUAGGGGCCACCCAGAAUGCAGAUUAAAUAAACAUUCAGGAAUGGCAGCGGAGCUUUUCCAUUUUCGUGGGUUCAGAGGGAACCUGCUGCGUUCAAGAGGAUAACGUGGGACCUGAGCAUUCUGUCAAAGUGGGGGAAGGAGGAGCUUGAGAUUGCAAAAUCCGUUUGAGAAGAAGCCACCUUGACUGGCUCCACUCUAAUAGCCUGGACGCUGCCUCCACUCUCCAGGUGCACUGCUCAGCAUUCUCCAAGAAGAUCAUUAAGGCAGACCCUACAUGUUAAAUUUCAAUCAGUUUCAUCGAGCAAAUAUGCUGUUAAACAGAGAAUGCUGUGUGCUGCGUCAGAGCGCUUAUGGGCAAAUGUGAUGGUAACUAUAAAUGCAGACCAAGCAGUCCUUCCCACACUGUGUACACAAAGAAAUGAGCUCUGGAACUGGGAGCCAGGACAACUGCAGGAGGAGAAUUCUGAAGUGAAAGGAGGCCUGGAUAUUGUUUGCAAGGCCUUGUCCCUAGAGCCUGGAUGCUCUCAGACCUUCCUCCUCUGGGCCUCAAGGUCCAGGACAGUGCCAGGGAGAGUUCAUAGAAACAAAUGUGUUCCAGACCUUGGCAGCUGUCUGACUCUGAGACAGUAACCUGGCCACUCUAAGUUUCCUCAUUUUUUUUUUUUUUUUUAAUUUAAGUUCUGGGAUACAUGUGAAGAACGUGCAGGUUUGUUACAAAGGUAUGCGUGUGCCAUGGUGGUUUGCUGCACCUGCCAUCUAGGUUGUAAGCCCCACAUGCAUUAGGUAUUUGUCCUAAUGCUCUCCCUCCCCUUGGCCCCUACCCCCUGACAGGUCCUGGUGUGUGUGUUGUCCGCCCCCAGCCCCCGGCGUGUCCAUGCGUUCCUAUUGUUCAACGCCCACUUAUGAGUGAGAAUAUGUAGUAUUUGGCUUUCUCUUCCUGUGUCGGUUUGCUGAGGAUGGUGGUUUCCAGCUUCAUCCAUGUCCCUGCAGAGGACAUGAUCUUAUCCUUUUCAUGGCUGCAUAGUAUUCUGUGUUGUAUAUGUGCCACAUUUUCUGUAUCCAGUCUUCCAUUGGUGGACAUUUGGG